AACGUAGGACGCGAGCGUUAUCCGGAGUUACUGGGCGUAAAGGGCGGGUAGGCGGUCUAUCAAGUUGGUUGUGAAAUCUCCUGGCUAAACUGGGAGGGUGCAAUCGAAACUGAUAGGCUAGAGGGCAGCAGAGGGCCGUGGAAUUCCGGGUGGAGUGGUGAAAUGCGUAGAGAUCCGGAGGAACACCAGAGGCGAAAGCGGCGGCCUGGGCUGCGACUGACGCUGAACCGCGAAAGCCAGGGGAGCGAAC
rnacentral:rRNA from 1 species